rnacentral:misc_RNA from 1 species
CACAAAUCCGAUUGCGCUGAUCACGAGCAGCAUUCUUUCUGCACAAUCAAAGUGUCAGGUCAUUCUGGAGCCAUUUUUGUGGAAGAAACACGAGUCCUCGAAAGUGCACAAUGCUUAUACUGAGGAAAGUGUUGGUGAGUUUUUUCAGCGUCAUUUCGGGAAAGAGGUUGUUGAUUAUCUUAUUGACCCUUUUGUUGCGGGCACAAGUGCUGGAGAUCCUGAAUCUCUUUCUGUACGCCAUUCUUUUCCAGGGCUAUGGAAUUUGGAAAAACGAUUUGGUUCUAUUAUAGCUGGGGCAGUUCUGGCAAAGUUAUCUACCAAAAGGGAGAAGAGCAAGGAAACAAAAGUACCUUCGGAAAAGAAGAAACGUCAACGUGGUUCAUUUUCUUUUCUCGGUGGAAUGCAGACGCUAACUGACAUGUUG